rnacentral:rRNA from 1 species
GUCAACUUGAGAGUUUGAUCCUGGCUCAGAACGAACGCUGGCGGCAGGCUUAACACAUGCAAGUCGAACGAAGGCUUCGGCCUUAGUGGCGCACGGGUGAGUAACGCGUGGGAACAUACCUUUUGGUGGGGGAUAACUCAGGGAAACUUGGGCUAAUACCGCAUACGCCCUUCGGGGGAAAGAUUUAUCGCCGAAAGAUUGGCCCGCGUCUGAUUAGCUAGUUGGUGGGGUAAUGGCCUACCAAGGCAACGAUCGGUAGCUGGUCUGAGAGGAUGACCAGCCACACUGGGACUGAGACACGGCCCAGACUCCUA